UACGGAGGGAGCUAGCGUUGUUCGGAAUUACUGGGCGUAAAGCGCACGUAGGCGGCUUUGUAAGUUAGAGGUGAAAGCCCGGAGCUCAACUCCGGAACUGCCUUUAAGACUGCAUCGCUUGAAUCCAGGAGAGGUGAGUGGAAUUCCGAGUGUAGAGGUGAAAUUCGUAGAUAUUCGGAAGAACACCAGUGGCGAAGGCGGCUCACUGGACUGGUAUUGACGCUGAGGUGCGAAAGCGUGGGGAGCAAACAGGG
rnacentral:rRNA from 1 species